GAUGAACGCUGGCGGCGUGCUUAACACAUGCAAGUCGAACGAAGCACUUUAUUUGAUUUCCUUCGGGACUGAUUAUUUUGUGACUGAGUGGCGGACGGGUGAGUAACGCGUGGGUAACCUGCCUUGUACAGGGGGAUAACAGUUGGAAAUGGCUGCUAAUACCGCAUAAGCGCACAGCAUCGCAUGAUGCAGUGUGAAAAACUCCGGUGGUAUAAGAUGGACCCGCGUUGGAUUAGCUAGUUGGUGAGGUAACGGCCCACCAAGGCGACGAUCCAUAGCCGACCUGGGAGGGUGACCGGCCACAUUGGGACUGAGACACGGCCCAAACUCCUACGGGAGGCAGCAGUGGGGAAUAUUGCACAAUGGGCGAAAGCCUGAUGCAGCGACGCCGCGUGAGCGAAGAAGUAUUUCGGUAUGUAAAGCUCUAUCAGCAGGGAAGAUAAUGACGGUACCUGACUAAGAAGCACCGGCUAAAUACGUG
rnacentral:rRNA from 1 species